GUUUAAGAAUGAUGAUGUGGGAAAAAGAGCUGGAAGUGUGUGCACUUUUCUGGAGAAGACAGAGACAAAAAGCCAUCCCCACACUGAAUGUCAUAGUUAUGUCUUUGCAAUAGAUGAAGUACUUGAAAAAGUGAGGAAGACACAGAAAAGGAUCACUAAAAAAAACCCAAAGAAGCCUGAAAAACUGGAAAGAAAACACAUGUGCAGAGCUGAAUAUAUUAAUUUCCUGGAGAAUCUGAAGAUUCUGGAAAUUUCUGAGGACUGCACGUAUGCUGAUGUCAAAGCCCUACACACUGAAAUUACCAGGAAUAAAGGCUUAGUACGUCAGAGAAUUAUUAAUAUAAUACUUUACAGUUGUGACAUUUUAUCAUAGGAUCGUUUAAUAUCUUUGAACACUGAAAUGACUUGUGUAAUACCUUUGAAAUAUGAUUAUCUCUGUGUAUGAUUUUGUUUGUUUUGCAAUGAUUAUCCCAAUUUAAUGUGCUAAAGUUCUAUAAGUGAUUCUUCCUUGCUCAGUGUGAAUGUCAGCCUCUUAUUUUAUUUCACUCUAUUAUCCUGGAU
rnacentral:sRNA from 1 species